GACGAACGCUGGCGGCGUGCCUAACACAUGCAAGUCGAACGGAGUUAAGUCUUCGGAUUUAACUUAGUGGCGAACGGGUAAGUAACGCGUGAGGAACCUGCCUCUCAGUGGGGGGACAACAGUUGGAAACGACUGCUAAUACCGCAUAAUGUUUCUGGACCGCAUGAUCUGGAAACCAAAGCUUUAUGUGCUGAGAGAUGGCCUCGCGUCUGAUUAGCUAGUUGGUGGGUAACGGCCCACCAAGGCGACGAUCAGUAGCCGGUCUGAGAGGAUGAACGGCCACACUGGGACUGAGAUACGGCCCAG
rnacentral:rRNA from 1 species